rnacentral:rRNA from 1 species
GAUGAACGCUGGCGGCGUGCCUAAUACAUGCAAGUCGAGCGGACCAAAGAGAGCUUGCUCUCUGAGGUUAGCGGCGGACGGGUGAGUAACACGUGGGUAACCUGCCUGUAAGACGGGGAUAACUUCGGGAAACCGAAGCUAAUACCGGAUGAUAAAGAGAAACGCCUGUUUCUUUUUUGAAAGUCGGCCUUGUGCUGACGCUUACAGAUGGGCCCGCGGCGCAUUAGCUAGUUGGUGAGGUAACGGCUCACCAAGGCGACGAUGCGUAGCCGACCGGAGAGGGUGAUCGGCCACACUGGGACUGAGACACGGCCCAGACUCCUACGGGAGGCAGCAGUAGGGAAUCUUCGGCAAUGGACGAAAGUCUGACCGAGCAACGCCGCGUGAGCGAUGAAGGCCUUCGGGUCGUAAAGCUCUGUUGUCAGAGAAGAACAAGUACCGGAGUAACUGCCGGUACCUUGACGGUACCUGACCAGAAAGCCACGGCUAACUACGUGCCAGCAGCCGCCGUAAGAC